rnacentral:tRNA from 1 species
GCUGGGAUGGCGGAGUGGUCAAUCGCAUUUGACUGUAAAUCAAAUGCCCGGAAGGGCUACGUAGGUUCAAAUCCUGCUCCCAGCA